rnacentral:rRNA from 1 species
GAUGAACGCUGGCGGCGUGCCUAAUACAUGCAAGUCGAGCGAACAGACGAGGAGCUUGCUCCUCUGACGUUAGCGGCGGACGGGUGAGUAACACGUGGAUAACCUACCUAUAAGACUGGGAUAACUUCGGGAAACCGGAGCUAAUACCGGAUAAUAUAUUGAACCGCAUGGUUCAAUAGUGAAAGACGGUUUUGCUGUCACUUAUAGAUGGAUCCGCGCCGCAUUAGCUAGUUGGUAAGGUAACGGCUUACCAAGGCAACGAUGCGUAGCCGACCUGAGAGGGGGAUCGGCCACACUGGAACUGAGACACGGUCCAGACUCCUACGGGAGGCAGCAGUAGGGAAUCGUCCGCAAUGGGCGAAAGCUUGACGGAGCAACGCCGCGUGAGUGAUGAAGGUCUUCGGAUCGUAAAACUCUGUUAUUAGGGAAGAACAAAUGUGUAAGUAACUAUGCACGUCUUGACGGUACCUAAUCAGAAAGCCACGGCUAACUACGUG